rnacentral:rRNA from 1 species
GACGGAGGGUGCAAGCGUUGUUCGGAAUUACUGGGCGUAAAGGGCGCGUAGGCGGUCUGUUAAGUUCGGUGUGAAAGCCCCCGGCUCACCUGGGGAACUGCGCCGGAAACCGACAGACUCGAGUACCGGAGAGGAGGGUGGAAUUCCUGGUGUAGCGGUGAAAUGCGCAGAUAUCAGGAAGAACACCGGUGGCGAAGGCGGCCCCCUGGACCGGUACUGGCGCUGAGGCGCGAAAGCGUGGGUAGCAAACGGG